UACGGGGGGGGGGUAAGCGUUGUUCGGAAUUACUGGGCGUAAAGGGCUCGUAGGCGGCCAGCUAAGUCAUACGUGAAAUCCCUCAGCUUAACUGGGGAACUGCGUGUGAUACUGGAUGGCUUGGAUUUGGGAGAGGGAUGCGGAAUUCCAGGUGUAGCGGUGAAAUGCGUAGAUAUCUGGAGGAACACCGGUGGCGAAGGCGGCAUCCUGGACCAAUUCUGACGCUGAGGAGCGAAAGCCAGGGGAGCAAAACGGG
rnacentral:rRNA from 1 species